ensembl:lincRNA
AUGAGAUGCUCUUCAGGAGGGAGCACAGGACACGCGUCCUCAGGAGUCAGGACGCGGCCCACACCGUCCUCACCAGCUGUGUGCUGCGGCUCACAGUUCCCAUCCAUACUGAGAGUGAGGGCACUGCAGUGCCUCGUUCCCAAAUGGAGCAGCUUUAUCCCGGGAGCUUGUUCAGCUCCGAAGGUCCUUCUUUCACUACCUACGUCCCAGGAGGACAGAGCAAUUAAAAGUGAAAGCUUCUGGAGCGGCACUCACAAUGCUAUCCAGGCAGAAGCACCAGGAGCUGGGUGUCACACAGGAGGUCGCAGAUCAGAGAUCCUGAGUGCAGACCCCAGCUGUUAAACCCUGGAAAAUGGGUAGACUCAGAAAUGGGAUUUGGAACUCACUUUCCUGUUCACCUCUGCCUGCAGUGAUGCUUGUCUAAGGCAGAGAAAGGGUUGACUGUAGAAAUAGUCCUGAAAUCAAAGUUCCAGCCUGGAAAUUUUACUUCUAUGAGUUUUGAAAUCAAAGACAUAGAAAGAGAAAGCAGGAAAACUAUAAGACACAUCAUGGACCUUCUCAUGCUCCUUUUUAAAAACUGUUUUAUGAAAUUUUAAUACCAUACCUAAUCUAGCUUCCCUUCUAAUUCUUCUGAGUUCCCAGCCAUGACGCUGGCUCUUGUCUGCUGCUCUUCUCCUCUUUGCUCCUCCCUAGGACAACCGUGGGCUCAGUUUCCCACCAGGGUAAACCUUUCAGUGGUCACCAAAUCCUACUAGUUCGUAUUGCGUGACGACCUCGCGAAUCGAGCACCGCCUAGCUCACAAAGUGAAAGCGUUUCUUCUCCCGGGAGAAUGGUGCAGCCGCACGGCCUUGACCUCGUGUCAGGUGAGAGGUCACUCACAAGGCCAAGGGGAGGACUCCUGCCACGGUUAAUCCCAGAGUGUUAGGAGCCUCAAGAGCAAAAAUGAAGAGCUGUGUGAUGGCCACCCGCGGCCCCAGCCGCCAGCAGGUGCACUGCAAAGCAUCUUCCUGUGCUGAGUAUUUGCUGUCUUUUAUCUUAACCCACGCAACAAAUGGCCGAAAAUAACUCAAGUACGCUGCAGAAGGCGCGCGCUAAGAAAGCUAACCCUGCCAGCAGCAUUGCUCCGUUGGAUCUCAGAGCGAGCGUCUCUCCUUUAAGCACGUGUGCGCAAGGCUACACAUGUGUCUGUUAGUAAAGGGGUUCAUGUUAUUUUGACUGAGUCACUACGUGAAGUUGAAACUAAUCAACCACCUCACACUAAUUUUCUUUCAUCGGGUAGCCAAGAUAUUCUGUUCUCAUUAUGGAUCAGUGGAAUUUUCCCUAAUUAUAAAAUUUAAAGUGAUUGUCGCCUUGUCCUAUAGUUUUCUACAAUCUGAUGUUUUUAAAAGCUUGUUUAGAAAAAGUUGUAUUUCAAGACCGUUUUAAAUAUAUGCACUGAUUAAAACAUUUGCAAAGACUGUCUAGUCAAGUAGUUUUCGUUUGACUUUCUCUAGAGCAAAAAUUUCAGAGUUUGUGCCUUUAACUCAGGACCGGACUAAAUUUAAUAUUGAAUUAACAGGUCAUUUGUUAUUUAAUGAUGUAAAGUUCCAGUAAAAAUCACGGCUUACGGUACCUUAAAAUAUACUUAACACAACAUUUUGAAAGGUAGAGCUCUUAUUUUCCUUCAUGGGCACUUACAAAUUAUAGUUGAAUGAGUGCGUGAAUAUAAAUAGGCCUUUUCUCCUGACGAGAGGCGUUACCCUCGACCUGGACCCCUUCCUGCUCAAGUAAUUACCCCAAGCCUUUUAAAAUGAUCCUGAAGUUCUAAUUAGACACAAUCUUCUUUGCUUCCUAUUGUAAACUGCUGCCUUGAGUGCUGGUCUGAGGUGGGUUUCAAAGCCAUUGCCCUUCCCCCAGCAUCCUGAAGGUGCUGUGACUGCUAAUUACUACCCCCAAUACUUCAGCACCGCAGGGUCUGAAAGGGGGCCACGGAAUUGCAGCGUCUUACUGUCUUCUCCACCACUUCCCAAGGCCUGUGCAGCUUGGCGAAGUAAAGCCGAGAAGGGAAAGUCGACAUGUCUGGACAGCCACGGUGCAUAUCGCCGUACUACUGCGGGUCCCCCCGCCCCCGAAUAUUGCUCUAGGUCCUACUGGGCCAGGAAGGAGGGAGCUUGGAGCCAGAUGCUGAAUCAGUUUGCAAGUGUGAAUGAUUAUGUUAUUAACAGUUUACUGGAGAAGGACAGCACCUGCAACUGUGAAUCAUCUUAAUCAACUUAAUAGACUGUUUUAAAAUCGGUGCAAUGAAAGGAACACCAAGCCCGACAGAAUGUGCCCGAAAUGAAACAGUGUGGAACAGAAUCGUGAAAUGUGCAUGUUCACAAACUGACGGUGAAUUCUCUACAAUGCUUUCUCGUGGCAGCUAUUCGAACAUAAGCUACGAUGUCCUGGAAUAUCCUCUGAACAUUCCUGGGAAUAUACACAAUCAGCAUGCAAUUCCUAUGUUGAUGCUACUUUAGGUGCGUGUGAUAUGUACAGAAAAUGUGAACGUAUCUUAGGCAAUUACUUUAAAAUACUAACAGGGAUUCCAUGUUCUUUAUGUAUGUUUAUAUAGACCUGUCAUAACUUUGUUCCCAUACUUACCACCUUGACCCUCAACUGCAGGCCACACCUGAGCUGUCCGAAGCCCAUUCACCCCGUGGCCUCCGGCCGGCUCGGAAGCUCUCUCCCUGGGUGCUGUGUGAGAGACAGCCCUGUUGUUCCUCAGCUCACUGACCCCGUGGCCAGCAGGUCUCAUACUUGACCACAGUGAGAUGAAGCGACCAUCGCAGAGCUGUGUAAGCCGGCUUCCUCCUUUACCUGUGCCUCCUCCAAACUAACACAGCCAGCACCUCUUACAGGAAGCCUCAAAGGUAAUUUUCAUGCACAGAUCCUCUUCCUCCCUGCGCUGUUCCCUCUCUCCCUCUUCUGCCUUGGGAUUUCCCACCCACUCCCAUAACCUAGCUCGGACUGUACAUGAUACUUUUCUUCCACUUAAUGGGUUUUGAUUUCACUUCCUUGUUUAUCUCACUUGAUAUGCACACACUUUCCUUUUGAUCAGGGAUUCUCCCAGCAAGUGGCUUUGUAGGAAUUAACCGGAUACAGUUAGCAAGAGUCACAAGGUCACUGCCAAGUUAGCUGAGGGUCCCAUGAGAGGCAUACCUGGUUACAGGUGUGACAUUACGGCUCUAGAUCAAGAAGCGAAACUUAAAGGGUGUACUGCAAAGGUCCUCAACCAAAUCCCUUAAAUUUUUGCCCAGGGCAGGGCAGAUCUUUUGGCCACUCUCAGGACAGUGAAUGAAAGACCAAAUCCAAUGGAAACUGUCCCAAUGAGAAUCACCAC